rnacentral:lncRNA from 1 species
AAAUGGCUUCCAGCUGGUCCUCGGCGAAGACGGGAGAGGCUCGAGGCCUUCGACGUAAGCCUUGGGCCGGGGAGGGCGGCCCUACUAGACGUGGAAGGGGGAGCCUAAAUCAAGCCCAGCGUGAGGCUCCUCAGGGACAUACUCUUGUCACGUGAGCCAGGCGCAGCCCUCCCUGGCUUGGGGGAGCAUCACACGUCCUACCUGCCAGCCCCAUCCCUAAAGGUUAAAGCUUCACCCUCAACAGGCUGCCACUUGCUCUCGCCUCCACUGCGACGACUGCUUCCGCGCUGCUAGGAGCCCUCGACGGGGACUCGCUUAUCAUUCCAAGGACCUCCUUGCUCCAGGCCAGCCUUCCAGCUCCAAGAGGAAAGGCUCCAUCAGGAGCACACCAUUACGAAGCUCCCACACCAAGCGCUUCCCCCGACGGCCCAGUGACCCCACGGCCAUGGCCGAGGUGCUGCGGUCCACAGCCUCACAGUCCACCUUCUGCUUCUGAGUCCUGUGUUUAUUCUCUCAGUUCCCCCCCGGGGGGGAGGGAGCGGGGACAAUUCGAUUCUGUUAGGUUUCCACCAUCGCGGUCUUCUUUCUUGGUCACACAGCUUGAAAAAAGGUCCAGGUCUCCCCCACCCCACCCCACCCCCAGUCACCUCCCACUCCUCAGUCCUCUGCAAUGUGCUGCUGUGCCCCCCCACACCCAGCGCCACCAAAAAUCGCCUUCACAGAAUCCAUUUGUCAUCCCUUUUCUUGAAUUCCUAGAAACUUUGCAGGAAGUAGGUUUUCCUCUCACCUCUGGCCUGUCCUUUAGCACUCCUCACGAUUUUUUGUUGUUGUUGCUGUUCCUCAACCCCUCCCUUGACUGUUCUUGGGUUUUGUUCUAACUCCUUUGCUCUUAUUGUAUUCUCUCUCCUGGGACAGUUCUACCCACUUCCAUUACCAUCUAUUUUCUAAUGAUUCUCAUAUGGAAGUGGGUAGAAUUGUAUUUCUAGUCCAGAUCUUUCUUUAAGCUUCAUACAACAUCUACACUUGGAGAGCUCAGAGAAACUGAAACUCAGUAGAUAUCAACUAAAACUCAUUUUACUUCAGGGACCUAUCCUCUUCCAGACCGGUAGCCUUAUACUUAAUUGCAUAAACCAUUACAACAGCUUCUCCACACCAGAAGCCCUGGGGCCAUUCUUAUCUCCCUCCUUUCCUUCCAUACACUUCCCAUCCAAUAAAUUUCUAAUUCUUUCCUAGUCCAUCUUCUAAAUAUCUACCAAAUCUGUCUACUUACUUUUAGCCAGUGCCUUUGAGUGAAGUUGGAUAUGAUGGGCCCUUUCUACUUGGGAAGGAAGAGGAGGAAAGACCUAGAUGUCUAGAUGUGAGACAAGCCAAGGCAAGCAGAUUGAUCAGAGACGCGAGGGAAGUCUAAUUCCAUCUGGUCCAGGGACCCUCUCCCCAGAGCUACUGCAUUGCCCUUCUAAGUGGUAUUCUUGUUUUUAACUGUCCUGUUUUAUUUGACUCCCAUGAUAUUUAAAUGAGUCAUAAUCACUUACAGUGUUGGUUUAAAUAAGAAUCUUAGGGUCCUUUGCAGCGUGGCUCUGAAAUAUGCUGUUUAACAAGCUUUUCUGAUGAUUUUUUAAGCUUAAAACAAAGAAAUUUAUUCUCUCGGUGUCAGAGGCCAGAAGUCUAAAAUUAAAGUAUUAGGGCUGGGGAUAUAGCUCAGUUGGUAGAGUGCUUGCCUCAUAUGCACUAGGCCCUAGAUUCAAUCCCCAGCAUCACACACACACACGCACAUACACACACACAAAAAAAAAAGAAAGAAAGAAAGAAAUCAAGGCAUUAGCAGCACUGCGCUUCCUGUAACCUCCAACUUCGGAUGGUUCCACUCCUUCUUGACUUGUUGGCUUCAUCACACCAGUCUCUGCCCAUAUCGUGUGGUCUCCUCUGUGUCUCUCUGGAGAUUGUGAAGCACACUAAAGUUUGAAAACCACAGACCAUUCUAAAAUAAAAAUGAAGAAGUUCUUGAAGUCCUCUCUGGUUCUGUGGCAAUCCUCUGCCUUACAUGAUAAACUCCAAAAUUCAUGAAAGAUCUACAAAGCCCUUUGAGAAUUAAUGUAGACCAACCACUCUAGCCUCCUUUCUCAUCAUUUCCUCCUUGAAAUUCUGCUUGGGUCAUAAUCAAUUACUUGGGGUUACUGAAUGUGCCUGUAGUUUCUCAAUGCUAAACUUUUGUCCGUUGUGAAUGCUCAAAGAAUGAGUAAAUACAUUAAAACUAUCACUGUGUAAGGUCCUA